GGGGGCCUAAUACAUGCAAGUAGAACGCUGAAGAGAGGCUUUUGCUCUUCUUGGAUGAGUUGCGAACGGGUGAGUAACGCGUAGGUAACCUGCCUUGUAGCGGGGGAUAACUAUUGGAAACGAUAGCUAAUACCGCAUAACAAUGGAUGACACAUGUCAUUUAUUUGAAAGGGGCAAUUGCUCCACUACAAGAUGGACCUGCGUUGUAUUAGCUAGUAGGUGAGGUAACGGCUCACCUAGGCGACGAUACAUAGCCGACCUGAGAGGGUGAUCGGCCACACUGGGACUGAGACACGGCCCAGACUCCUACGGGAGGCAGCAGUAGGGAAUCUUCGGCAAUGGGGGCAACCCUGACCGAGCAACGCCGCGUGAGUGAAGAAGGUUUUCGGAUCGUAAAGCUCUGUUGUAAGUCAAGAACGAGUGUGAGAGUGGAAAGUUCACACUGUGACGGUAGCUUACCAGAAAGGGACGGCUAACUACGUGCCAGCAGCCGCGGUAAUACGUAGGUCCCGAGCGUUGUCCGGAUUUAUUGGGCGUAAAGCGAGCGCAGGCGGUUUGAUAAGUCUGAAGUUAAAGGCUGUGGCUCAACCAUAGUUCGCUUUGGAAACUGUCAAACUUGAGUGCAGAAGGGGAGAGUGGAAUUCCAUGUGUAGCGGUGAAAUGCGUAGAUAUAUGGAGGAACACCGGUGGCGAAAGCGGCUCUCUGGUCUGUAACUGACGCUGAGGCUCGAAAGCGUGGGGAGCGAACAGGAUUAGAUACCCUGGUAGUCCACGCCGUAAACGAUGAGUGCUAGGUGUUGGAUCCUUUCCGGGAUUCAGUGCCGCAGCUAACGCAUUAAGCACUCCGCCUGGGGAGUACGACCGCAAGGUUGAAACUCAAAGGAAUUGACGGGGGCCCGCACAAGCGGUGGAGCAUGUGGUUUAAUUCGAAGCAACGCGAAGAACCUUACCAGGUCUUGACAUCCCGAUGCUAUUUCUAGAGAUAGAAAGUUACUUCGGUACAUCGGUGACAGGUGGUGCAUGGUUGUCGUCAGCUCGUGUCGUGAGAUGUUGGGUUAAGUCCCGCAACGAGCGCAACCCCUAUUGUUAGUUGCCAUCAUUCAGUUGGGCACUCUAGCGAGACUGCCGGUAAUAAACCGGAGGAAGGUGGGGAUGACGUCAAAUCAUCAUGCCCCUUAUGACCUGGGCUACACACGUGCUACAAUGGUUGGUACAACGAGUUGCGAGUCGGUGACGGCAAGCUAAUCUCUUAAAGCCAAUCUCAGUUCGGAUUGUAGGCUGCAACUCGCCUACAUGAAGUCGGAAUCGCUAGUAAUCGCGGAUCAGCACGCCGCGGUGAAUACGUUCCCGGGCCUUGUACACACCGCCCGUCACACCACGAGAGUUUGUAACACCCGAAGUCGGUGAGGUAACCAAUUGGAGCCAGCCGCCUAAGGUGGGAUAGAUG
rnacentral:rRNA from 1 species